UGAAGAAACAACCAUAUAUUGGUGAAUUGUAAUUAAGGUUAAGUCAACGUUAAACAACAAUAUUCAUGGCUAAAUCACAACCCCAGAACUAUGGGUUUUAACCACUCAUGAUAAUAUCAAACAAUUUCAUAAGUAUUGGAUAAUUGAAAAUACUAACAAAAGAUGAAGAAAAAUGAGAUAUCCUCGCUCCCGAAUCGUUAUCGUGUCUAUUUUUCCUUCAAAGUGGCGUCUCCCCUCUCAAAAUAGGCUUAGUUUUGCUUUUAUACGAGUUGGGUAGGUCUAGGGCCGAAAUAACCUUGUCCCGGGCAAAGUUGGAGAAAUUCCCGUCACCAUCGUCCAAGGCAGCGUGGGGCGUUGGUGCUGGCCUGCUAAACAUUCUAUAAACGGCGCCAUAGGUGGCGUGGGGUGCUGCCUGUGACGCUGGAAUUCAGCAUUUCCCAUUUUUUCUCCAUUUUGGUUCUAAUCUCGCACCUUUUGCCCCCUAUUAUCUCCAGAUGAUUCCUACACAUAAAAACACCACAAAUUAACAUAAAUCAAUACAUUUUACAUUCGAAAUCCAAGAAACACGAGUAAAACAUGAGGCGAUAUACAUAUAAAUAUAUAUACUUUAAGCUAAAUAUCAAUACCCCACACUUAGACUCUUGCUCUUCCUCGAGCAAUGGGACUAUCAACUCCACCCCAACAACGUACACAUCUCAACUAGAGAGGAGCACUUCAAUUUUUAACCAUACACUCUACCCUUGACUAUGAACGAUACCGGCAAUCAAGCAUGAACAAACAAAAUUCAUAUUCUUCCCGUUUUAAACAUGCCCAAGUCUAUCCUUUCAAUUCAGUCAAUCCAAACAACCUAUCUGUAACCACCCUACCUCAAGAGCCGAAUCUCUUACCACUAAGCACCCUCAAUUCGCGCACUCACCCAACAAGAGAAGUUUUCAACAUUACCAAUCCUUCAUGACAUCACGUGCCCUCACCAACAAACAAACGAGUAAAUAUAGAAUAGUCCACACAUUCAAGUAUGCCUUUGAACAUAAUUUAAGGACAUCACAC
rnacentral:lncRNA from 1 species